rnacentral:rRNA from 1 species
AUUGAACGCUGGCGGCAGGCCUAACACAUGCAAGUCGAACGAGUGGCGGACGGGUGAGUAAUGUCUGGGCAACUGCCUGAUGGAGGGGGAUAACUACUGGAAACGGUAGCUAAUACCGCAUACCAUCGGAUGUGCCGUGAGGGGAUUAGCUAGUAGGGGGGGUAACGGCUCCCCAAGGCGACGAUCCCUAGCUGGUCUGAGAGGAUGACCGGCCACACUGGACCUGAGACACGGUCCAGACUCCUACGGGAGGCAGCAGUGGGGAAUAUUGCUCAAUGGGCGCAAGCCUGACGGAGCCAUGCCGCGUGUAUGAAGAAGGCCUUCGGGUUGUAAAGUACUGUCAGCGGGGAGGCGUUACUCGCAGAAGAAGCAACGGCUAACUCCGUGCCAGCAGCCGCGGUAAUUC